rnacentral:rRNA from 1 species
AUUCGUCUUACCCAGAGUUUGAUCCUGGCUCAGAUUGAACGCUGGCGGCAGGCCUAACACAUGCAAGUCCAGCGGAUGAUGGGAGCUUGCUCCCGGAUUCAGCGGCGGACGGGUGAGUAAUGCCUAGGAAUCUGCCUGGUAGUGGGGGACAACGUUUCGAAAGGAACGCUAAUACCGCAUACGUCCUACGGGAGAAAGCAGGGGACCUUCGGGCCUUGCGCUAUCAGAUGAGCCUAGGUCGGAUUAGCUAGUUGGUGGGGUAAAGGCCUACCAAGGCGACGAUCCGUAACUGGUCUGAGAGGAUGAUCAGUCACACUGGAACUGAGACACGGUCCAGACUCCUACGGGAGGCAGCAGUGGGGAAUAUUGGACAAUGGGCGAAAGCCUGAUCCAGCCAUGCCGCGUGUGUGAAGAAGGUCUUCGGAUUGUAAAGCACUUUAAGUUGGGAGGAAGGGCAGUAAGUUAAUACCUUGCUGUUUUGACGUUACCAACAGAAUAAGCACCGGCUAACUUCGUGCCAGCAGCCGCGGUAAUACGAAGGGGGCUAGCGUUGUUCG